UGCGUAGGCGGCUUUUUAAGUCGGAUGUGAAAUCCCUGAGCUUAACUUAGGAAUUGCAUUCGAUACUGGGAAGCUAGAGUAUGGGAGAGGAUGGUAGAAUUCCAGGUGUAGCGGUGAAAUGUGUAGAGAUCUGGAGGAAUACCGAUGGCGAAGGCAGCCAUCUGGCCUAAUACUGACGCUGAGGUACGAAAGCAUGGGGAGCAAACA
rnacentral:rRNA from 1 species